rnacentral:rRNA from 1 species
GUAGGUAGCUUAACCUCCGGGAGGGCGCUUACCACUUUGUGAUUCAUGACUGGGGUGAAGUCGUAACAAGGUAACCGUAGGGGAACCUGCGGUUGGAUCACCUCCUUA